CAGCACCUCAAGUGGUCAGGAUGAUUAUUGGGCCUAAAGCAUCCGUAGCCGGCUCUGUAAGUGUUCGGUUAAAUCUGUAUGCUCAACAUACAGGCUGCCGGGAAUACUGCAGAGCUAGGGAGUUGGAGAGGUAGACGGUACUCGGUAGGAAGGGGUAAAAUCCUUUGAUCUAUUGAUGACCACCUGUGGCGAAGGCGGUCUACCAGAACACGUCCGACGGUGAGGGAUGAAAGCUGGGGGAGCAAACCGGAUUAGAUACCCGAGUAGUCC
rnacentral:rRNA from 1 species